AGUGAACGCUGGCGGUAGGCCUAACACAUGCAAGUCGAACGGCAGCACAGUAAGAGCUUGCUCUUACGGGUGGCGAGUGGCGGACAGGUGAGGAAUACAUCGGAAUCUACUUUUUCGUGGGGGAUAACGUAGGGAAACUUACGCUAUUACCGCAUACGACCUACGGGUGAAAGCAGGGGAUCUUCGGACCUUGCGCGAUUGAAUGAGCCGAUGUCGGAUUAGCUAGUUGGCGGGGUAAAGGCCCACCAAGGCGACGAUCCGUAGCUGGUCUGAGAGGAUGAUCAGCCACACUGGAACUGAGACACGGUCCAGACUCCUACGGGAGGCAGCAGUGGGGAAUAUUGGACAAUGGGCGCAAGCCUGAUCCAGCCAUACCGCGUGGGUGAAGAAGGCCUUCGGGUUGUAAAGCCCUUUUGUUGGGAAAGAAAAGCAGCAGGUUAAUACCCCGCUGUUCUGACGUUACCCAAAGAAUAAGCACCGGCUAACUUCGUG
rnacentral:rRNA from 1 species